rnacentral:rRNA from 1 species
GAUGAACGCUGGCGGCGUGCCUAAUACAUGCAAGUCGAGCGGACGGACGAGAAGCUUGCUUCUCUGAUGUUAGCGGCGGGCGGGUGAGUAACACGUGGAUCACCUACAUCUAAGUCGGGGAUGACCUCGGGACGCCGGAGCUAAUACGGGAUGAUAUUUUGUACCGCAUGGUUCAAAAGUGAAAGACGGUCUUGCUGUCACUUAUAGAUGGCUCCGCGCUGCAUUAGCUAGUUGGUAAGGUAACGGCCUACCAAGGCAACGAUGCAUAGCCGACGUGAGAGGGUGGUCGCCCACCUGAGAACUUGAGCGCCGGCCAUGCGACUGAGGGAAGGAGCAGUAGGGAAUCUUCCGCAAUGGGCGGGAACCUGACGGAACAACGCCGCGCGAGUUGUAGAGGUCCUCCGAGCGGGAAACCCUGUUAUGAGGGAAAAACAUAUUUGAAAGGAACAGUACACAACGUGACGGUACCUAAACAAAAAGCCACGGCUAACUACGUG